CAGCCAUCCUGAAACUGUCCGAGCCUGAGCGGCGCCAUGACACCUGCAUAGAGUUCACAGUGAGAGGCUAUCCCUACCCAACGCUGCGAUGGUACCACAAACAGAGAGAGAUCCUGCAGAGUGAGUACAUCAGAACAGAGAUGGAUUUCUACCAGGACUAUCUGGAGGGAUGUCUAACGUUCAUCAACCCAACGCACUACGAUAACGGAAACUACACGCUGGAGGCCUCCAACUCCCUGGGCACCGUCACCAAGACCGUCUACGGACACUUCCUCACGGCGCCGCCCUUUGACCCUGACGAAAUUGUGGACUACGG